AGGUAAGCUACUAAGAGCGAAUGGUGGAUGCCUUGACUGGUAAAGGCGAUGAAGGACGUACUAGACUGCGAUAAGCUACGGGGAGCUGUCAAGAAGCUUUGAUCCGUAGAUUUCCGAAUGGGGCAACCCAAUGUAUAGAGAUAUACAUUACCUAUAUAGGAGCGAACGAGGGGAAUUGAAACAUCUUAGUACCCUCAGGAAAAGAAAUCAAUAGAGAUUGCGUCAGUAGCGGCGAGCGAAAGCGCAAGAGGGCAAACCCAGUGCUUGCACUGGGGGUUGUAGGACUGCAAUGUGCAAGAGGUAAGUUUAGCAGAACAUUCUGGAAAGUAUAACCAUAGAGGGUGAUAGUCCCGUAUGCGAAAAACAAACCUUAGCUAGCAGUAUCCUGAGUAGGGCGGGACACGAGGAAUCCUGUCUGAAUCCGGGUCGACCACGAUCCAACCCUAAAUACUAAUACCAGAUCGAUAGUGCACAAGUACCGUGAGGGAAAGGUGAAAAGAACUGAGGUGAUCAGAGUGAAAUAGAACCUGAAACCAUUUGCUUACAAUCAUUCAGAGCCCUAUGUAGCAAUACAGGGUGAUGGACUGCCUUUUGCAUAAUGAGCCUGCGAGUUGUGGUGUCUGGCAAGGUUAAGCAAACGCGAAGCCGUAGCGAAAGCGAGUCUGAAUAGGGCGCUUAGUCAGAUGCUGCAGACCCGAAACGAAGUGAUCUAUCCAUGAGCAAGUUGAAGCUAGUGUAAGAACUAGUGGAGGACUGAACCCAUAGGCGUUGAAAAGCCCCGGGAUGACUUGUGGAUAGGGGUGAAAGGCCAAUCAAACUUCGUGAUAGCUGGUUCUCUCCGAAAUAUAUUUAGGUAUAGCGUUGUGUCGUAAUAUAAGGGGGUAGAGCACUGAAUGGGCUAGGGCAUACACCAAUGUACCAAACCCUAUCAAACUCCGAAUACCUUAUAUGUAAUCACAGCAGUCAGGCGGCGAGUGAUAAAAUCCGUCGUCAAGAGGGAAACAACCCAGACUACCAGCUAAGGUCCCUAAGUCUUACUUAAGUGGAAAACGAUGUGAAGUUACUUAAACAACCAGGAGGUUGGCUUAGAAGCAGCCAUCCUUUAAAGAAAGCGUAAUAGCUCACUGGUCUAGUGAUUUUGCGCGGAAAAUAUAACGGGGCUAAAGUAAGUACCGAAGCUGUAGACUUAGUUUACUAAGUGGUAGGAGAGCGUUCUAUUUGCGUCGAAGGUAUACCGGUAAGGAGUGCUGGAGCGAAUAGAAGUGAGCAUGCAGGCAUGAGUAGCGAUAAUUAAUGUGAGAAUCAUUAACGCCGUAAACCCAAGGUUUCCUACGCGAUGCUCGUCAUCGUAGGGUUAGUCGGGUCCUAAGUCGAGUCCGAAAGGGGUAGACGAUGGCAAAUUGGUUAAUAUUCCAAUACCAACAUUAGUGUGCGAUGGAAGGACGCUUAGGGCUAAGGGGGCUAGCGGAUGGAAGUGCUAGUCUAAGGUCGUAGGAGGUUAUACAGGCAAAUCCGUAUAACAAUACUCCGAGAACUGAAAGGCUUUUUGAAGUCUUCGGAUGGAUAGAAGAACCCCUGAUGCCGUCGAGCCAAGAAAAGUUUCUAAGUUUAGCUAAUGUUGCCCGUACCGUAAACCGACACAGGUGGGUGGGAUGAGUAUUCUAAGGCGCGUGGAAGAACUCUCUUUAAGGAACUCUGCAAAAUAGCACCGUAUCUUCGGUAUAAGGUGUGGUUAGCUUUGUAUUAGGAUUUACUCCGAAAGCAAGGAAACUUACAACAAAGAGUCCCUCCCGACUGUUUACCAAAAACACAGCACUCUGCUAACUCGUAAGAGGAUGUAUAGGGUGUGACGCCUGCCC
rnacentral:rRNA from 1 species